UUAACUGACGCUAAAGCUCGAAAGUGCGGGUAUCGAACAGGAUUAGAUACCCUGGUAGUCCGCACGGUAAACGAUGGAUGCCCGCUGUCUGCGAUACACUGUAGGCGGCCAAGAGAAAUCGUUAAGCAUCCCACCUGGGGAGUACGCCGGCAACGGUGAAACUCAAAGGAAUUGACGGGGGCCCCGCACAAGCGGAGGAACAUGUGGUUUAAUUCGAUGAUACGCGAGGAACCUUACCCGGGCUUGAACUGCAGGCGUACGAUACAGAGAUGUUGAGGCCCUUCGGGGCGCCUGUGGAGGUGCUGCAUGGUUGUCGUCAGCUCGUGCCGUGAGGUGUCGGCUUAAGUGCCAUAACGAGCGCAACCCCUUUCUCCAGUUGCCAUCAGGUGAUGCUGGGCACUCUGGAGACACUGCCACCGUAAGGUGUGAGGAAGGUGGGGAUGACGUCAAAUCAGCACGGCCCUUACGUCCGGGGCUACACACGUGUUACAAUGGGUGGUACAGAGAGUCAAUCCCCAGCAAUGUGGAUUCAAUCCUUAAAGCCAUCCUCAGUUCGGAUUGGGGUCUGCAACCCGACCCCAUGAAGCUGGAUUCGCUAGUA
rnacentral:rRNA from 1 species